rnacentral:rRNA from 1 species
UACGUAGGGUGCGAGCGUUGUCCGGAAUUAUUGGGCGUAAAGAGCUCGUAGGCGGUUUGUUGCGUCUAUCGUGAAAACCUGCAGCUUAACUGUGGGCUUGCGGUGGAUACGGGCAGACUUGAGUUCGGUAGGGGAGACUGGAAUUCCUGGUGUAGCGGUGAAAUGCGCAGAUAUCAGGAGGAACACCGGUGGCGAAGGCGGGUCUCUGGGCCGAAACUGACGCUGAGGAGCGAAAGCGUGGGGAGCAAACAGG